CUGGGAGCAGCUGAUUUAGAAUGGGUGGUGUCCAGGGGGGUCUUCUGAGGAAGUGGCAUGGACUGUGGCUGACAGAGGGAGCUGGCCAGGCGGGGAGCUGAAGGGCUCUCCAGAAAUGGAACGGAGGGACCAAAUGGCCCCUUAACAGUAUGGAGCCAUGACCAGGGAGUGUGUAAAGGGUACACGGAGGAGUGUUGUCAUGGAGGAGGGGAGAAGACCCUCUUGGGCUUUUAUUCCUAAGGGCAACGGGAGUCCUGAAGUGUUUUAAGGAGAGAGACUGCACCACACACUCAACCGCAGCACACAAAAUAGGACCAAAGGCAGUUUCUGAGAGAAGACUCCAAACGUUUCAGAUCUGAGAAAGGCUGAGCAAGGCUGCAGUGGAGCCCACUCUACGGGUGACGCCGAGGACCUGGCUAUGCUGGGCUCAUGUUCUGCUGAGCAUGGCUGCUUUCUUUCUGCUCCACUUCCUUCAGGACUUAUUGGUCAGGAGGUAAAGAGCAGACUUUCCUUCCCUGGAUCUUGUUCCUGGUACUUAGCUAGCCCUACUCGUGAAGCUGGGGACAAGUCUCCCUCUUUGUGUGUGCACAGUAAGAGAGAAGAGGCGUGCCGGUGUGACAGACAUCUGUGAACACGGGUGAGGUUCAUAGGGUCCACGCCUCUACCACAGCCUUAGAUGAAUGAGGCUGGCAGGACAUGUGAU